GAGAAAGCUUGCUUUCUUGCUGACGAGUGGCGGACGGGUGAGUAAUGCUUGGGAAUCUGGCUUAUGGAGGGGGAUAACGACGGGAAACUGUCGCUAAUACCGCGUAUUAUCGGAAGAUGAAAGUGCGGGACUGAGAGGUCGCAUGCCAUAGGAUGAGCCCAAGUGGGAUUAGGUAGUUGGUGGGGUAAAGGCCUACCAAGCCAGCGAUCUCUAGCUGGUCUGAGAGGAUGACCAGCCACACUGGAACUGAGACACGGUCCAGACUCCUACGGGAGGCAGCAGUGGGGAAUAUUGCGCAAUGGGGGGAACCCUGACGCAGCCAUGCCGCGUGAAUGAAGAAGGCCUUCGGGUUGUAAAGUUCUUUCGGUAUUGAGGAAGGUUGAUGUGUUAAUAGCACAUCAAAUUGACGUUAAAUACAGAAGAAGCACCGGCUAACUCCGCGCCAGCAGCCGCGGUAAUACGGAGGGUGCGAGCGUUAAUCGGAAUAACUGGGCGUAAAGGGCACGCAGGCGGUUAUUUAAGUGAGGUGUGAAAGCGCCCGGGCUUAACCUGGGAAUUGCAUUUCAGACUGGGUAACUAGAGUACUUUAGGGAGGGGUAGAAUUCCACGUGUAGCGGUGAAAUGCGUAGAGAUGUGGAGGAAUACCGAAGGCGAAGGCAGCCCCUUGGGAAUGUACUGACGCUCAUGUGCGAAAGCGUGGGGAGCAAACAGGAUUAGAUACCCUGGUAGUCCACGCUGUAAACGCUGUCGAUUUGGGGGUUGGGGUUUAACUCUGGCGCCCGUAGCUAACGUGAUA
rnacentral:rRNA from 1 species